rnacentral:lncRNA from 1 species
AAAGUCAUAUUUUGGAUCGGCAUUGGCCGAAAUUGAAACCAAGAAUUUGAUUGAACACUACCCAUUUAUAGUAUGUUUUUGCAAAAGAAACUACCUAAGCCAGAGAAUGAAUGAAUUAAACUAAUAAUAAUAAUGUUGCACGUACCUGUGAUCACAUUCUGUUCAAAUUGUGACUUCCUUUUGACAGCUAAUUGCUUUCCACAUGGUUGGCAGGAAACUAACUUGCCAUCCACUGUAAAAAUUUCGCACUCUUUAUUAUACAUUUAUAUGGCAAUCCAAUACCAAAGUUUUGCGCUGAGGGGGUUGGUGUUUUCGGCAUUUCUAACAAUGAACAGCCCGA